rnacentral:rRNA from 1 species
UACGGGGGGUGCGAGCGUUGUCCGGAAUCACUGGGCGUAAAGGGCGCGUAGGUGGCCUGAUAAGGGUGUGGUGAAAGUCCGGGGCUCAACCCCGGAUCUGCCGUGCCGACUGUUGGGCUGGAGUACUGUAGGGGCAGGCGGAAUUCCGGGUGUAGCGGUGGAAUGCGUAGAGAUCCGGAGGAAGACCGGUGGCGAAGGCGGCCUGCUGGGCAGUAGCUGACACUGAGGCGCGAAAGCGUGGGGAGCAAACAGG